GAUGAACGCUGGCGGCGUGCCUAAUACAUGCAAGUCGAGCGAACGGACGAGAAGCUUGCUUCUCUGAUGUUAGCGGCGGACGGGUGAGUAACACGUGGAUAACCUACCUAUAAGACUGGGAUAACUUCGGGAAACCGGAGCUAAUACCGGAUAAUAUUUUGAACCGCAUGGUUCAAAAGUGAAAGACGGUCUUGCUGUCACUUAUAGAUGGAUCCGCGCUGCAUUAGCUAGUCGGUAAGGUAACGGCCUACCAAGGCAACGAUGCAUAGCCGACCUGAGAGGGUGAUCGGCCACACGGGAACUGAGACACGGUCCAGACUCCUACGGGAGGCAGCAGUAGGGAAUCUUACGCAAUGGGCGAAAGCCUGACGGAGCAACGCCGCGUGAGUGAUGAAGGUCUUCGGAUCGUAAAACUCUGUUAUUAGGGAAGAACAUAUGUGUAAGUAACUGUGCACAUCUUGACGGUACCUAAUCAGAAAGCCACGGCUAACUACGUG
rnacentral:rRNA from 1 species